GGGUCGAUGCCCGAGCGCGGUUAAUGGGGACGGACUGUAAAUUCGUUGGCAAUAUGUCUACGCUGGUUCAAAUCCAGCUCGGCCCA
rnacentral:tRNA from 1 species